CCCCUUCCUACAUGAGUGAGAUCAUAUGGUAUUUGUCUUUCUCUGACUUAUUUCACUUAGCAUAAUACACUCUAGCCCCAUCCACAACAUUGCAAGUGGUUUUCCUUAUUAAUGAAGAUCGGAAGAGCACAGGUC